GGGAAAGUGGCUCAGUGGUAGAGCACUUGUCUUGCAUGCAUGAGACCCUGGGUUCGAUUCCUUAGCACCA
rfam:Dipodomys ordii contig_2919, whole genome shotgun sequence.